UACGUAGGGUGCGAGCGUUAAUCGGAAUUACUGGGCGUAAAGCGUGCGCAGGCGGUUCGCUAAGACAGAUGUGAAAUCCCCGGGCUUAACCUGGGAACUGCAUUUGUGACUGCAUGGCUGGAGUGCGGCAGAGGGGGAUGGAAUUCCGCGUGUAGCAGUGAAAUGCGUAGAUAUCAAGAGGAACACCUGCGGCGAAGGCGGGUUGCUGGGCCGACACUGACGCUGAGGCGCGAAAGCGUGGGGAGCAAACAGG
rnacentral:rRNA from 1 species